rnacentral:rRNA from 1 species
UACAGAGGGGGGCAAGCGUUAUUCGGAAUUAUUGGGCGUAAAGGGCGCGUAGGCGGCUUUGCAAGUGGCGGGUGAAAUCCCUCGGCUUAACCGAGGAACUGCCUGUCAAACUGCAUGGCUUGAGACCGGGAGAGGUGAGUGGAAUUCCCAGUGUAGCGGUGAAAUGCGUAGAUAUUGGGAGGAACACCAGUGGCGAAGGCGGCUCACUGGACCGGUACGUGACGCUGAUGCGCGAAAGCGUGGGGAGCAAACAGGG